rnacentral:rRNA from 1 species
CCUAACACAUGCAGUCGAGCGGGGCAACCUGGCGGCGAGCGGCGAACGGGUGAGUAACAUAUCGGAACGUACCCGUCGUGGGGGAUAACUAUCCGAAAGGAUAGCUAAUACCGCAUACGACCUGGAGGGUGAAGGGGGGAUCGCAAGACCUCCCGUUAUCAGAGCGGGCCGAUGUCGGAUUAGCUAGUUGGUGGGGUAAAGGCCCACCAAGGCCGACGAUCCGUAGCUGGGUCUGAGAGGACGACCAGCCACACUGGGACUGAGACACGGCCCAGACUCCUACGGGAGGCAGCAGUGGGGAAUUUUGGACAAUGGACGCAAGUCUGAUCCAGCCAUGCCGCGUGCGGGAAGAAGGCCUUCGGGUUGUAAAACCGCUUUUGUCAGGGAAGAAAUCUUCUAGGCUAAUACCUUGGGAGGAUGACGGUACCUGAAGAAUAAGCACCGGCUAACUACGUG